GUAGGUGGCAAGCGCUGUCCGGAAUUAUUGGGCGUAAAGCGCGCGCAGGUGGGUUCUUUAAGUCUGAUGUGAAAGCCCCCGGGCUCAACCGGGGAGGGUCAUUGGAAACUGGGGAACUUGAGUGCAGGAGAGGAAAGUGGAAUUCCACGUGUAGCGGUGAAAUGCGUAGAUAUGUGGAGGAACACCAGUGGCGAAGGCGACUUUCUGGCCUGUAACUGACACUGAGGCGCGAAAGCGUGGGGAGCAAACAGGAUUAGAUACCCUGGUAGUCCACGCCGUAAACGAUGAGUGCUAAGUGUUGGGGGGUUUCCGCCCCUCAGUGCUGCAGCUAACGCAUUAAGCACUCCGCCUGGGGAGUACGGCCGCAAAGACUG
rnacentral:rRNA from 1 species